UCUAUAGUUUCUACUUGAUCUGGUUUCGAUUGCCACCCAAAAAGGAGGAGAGAUCUGGUUUCCGUCAUCUUCUCGCCUUUUGAUCCAAAGGAAAGAGCAAAAAUUGCUCUUCUGAUUUCCCUGCAGACUAGAGAGAGAGAGAGAGAUGGAAACUGAUCUGUCGCUUAUAGAAAUGAGCAUUGAAGAGGAAGACGAAUCCCUACUACUACUGGGAAAGGAUAUCAAGGAGAAGGAGGGUAACUCCGAUGCAAGUCUUCAUGAUCUCGAUUUCUCUUGCUCUCCACUCUAUACUCUCAGAUCUAAACGUUCUUCUGCUGAUUCCACCCAUCCUCCUCUGAUACCAACUCUCUCAGACGGAUCGGAGGUGAAUGAGGGUGGGAAGAAACCUUCUUGUUCAUCACCACCACCUUCUGAAGAAGACACCGUCGACAACAAAGAGAAUCUCGAUAAAAUAAAUUUACUUGUGUCACCGAAUUUGAAGGCUGGGCAGCAGCAAAUGAAGAGAAGAAAAAAAGGCGGUGGAUUCCAUAUGCGCAAAAGCAUAGCCUGGAACAGAGCUUUCUUUACCGAAGAAGGUGUUCUUGAUCCUGAAGAAUUGUCCUUACUGAGUGAAUCUUUCAGUAAGCCUAGCACUGGGUCCCUGUACACUGUUGAGGAAGAAGGGGGAACAUCACUAUCCGAGUGUUCUAUCUCAAGUGGGAAUGGAUCAAAUGUACAUACUAACGAAGAGAAGUUAUUCAAAGAAUUCCCUGCCACGCCUUCUGAUGAAGUUCACAAGGUUUCUGGUGGUUUAUUACCCAAACCUAAGUCCUCAGUUCGAGAAGAUGCAGCUCCGUUGCAUGGGGCCUCAAAGAAGGUGCAAUCAACCAAAGGAUUUCACAGAGUUGGGUCUCGACAAGGAAGUUGUCCCCAGCCCGCGGGUUCCACUUCUCAGAAGCAGCUUCUUAACAGGAACACAAGAAGUGCAACAAAGAAAGAGUCAAAACUGCCUAAAUUCUCAGCUCCAAAGCCAGAUUCUUCUUCAUUACCUACAGCCCCCAAAACUCUUAAUUUGUCUGUCAAGCAGUCAAGGCCCACUCAGACUAGAGCAUCAGCAAUUCAUGCAGGGAGGAAUUCUAGCUUGAAAGGCAACUUAAGUAAUACUAAAAAACUUAUUGGUUGCACUCCCUCAUCCACUAAAUCCUCUGUUCACAGUUCUCUGAAAGUCUUGGCUAACUCUCAUUUGGAAACACAAAAAUCAGCCAAUCCCAAGACACUGCAGGAUAAAAAAGGUGCUAAUAAUGGCUUGAAGGUGACUCCAAAUCUAACAACUCCUGCUGCUGAUAUGCAAGCAUCCACUGGUCAGGCUGGUUUAGGCAACAUGGCUGUACUGCUCCCUCAAAAAUGCAAAUCUGUUGGUUCAGACAAUCAAUAUAACGUGAAUGUCCAACCAACCAAACCAUCAGGUUUGCGGAUGCCUUCUCCUUCGCUACGAUACUUCGAUCAGCAGCCAAAAACUUCAGCUCUGCGUGGCUUGCAGUGUCAGAAGAGUACUCAAUCAUACAGUCGUUCGAAUGCUAAUAUUCCCAACUUGAGGAAGGUUGAUAAAUCUGAGAAUAUUGGUAUGGUCACAGCUCUCCACGCACCUCUGCCUAUGUUGGGUCCUGAUGCCACUACCACAAGAACCAUUGGGCACUUAAAUUCUAGUUGCUCGAUUCCGUAUGUCGCUCCUGCUACAAGUUCAGGCAAUAUUGGUGAGGUCAAAAUGCUCCAUGCACAGAGUAGAUUGCCCAUUGUGGGCACUGCUGCUGUAAGUAACAAUGAUACGGUCUCCAUGAACUCAAUUUUGGGGUGCUCCACUCCUUCUGCACCAGGUUCUUCACAUCCAACCCCAAAAGCAGGCUUAGAGCUUAAGAAUCAGUACGAGGAGGAAAUUGAAGUUCCAUCUCAUAUCAAUGAUAAUUAUGACACAAUAAAUUGUUGGGAGCAGCAGUCACAUGGUGUUUCUGAUUGUAGUAACAAGGAAUCUGCGAACUUGGCUGAUGAAGUGAACCCAUUCUUUGACAAAAUUGACCAUAGUCCUCAUGAGGAUAAGCAGAGAUUCCAUAUGAACGAUAACAUGUUGCUCGUACAAAGUGGAUCUUCUGAAAAAUCCCAUAAGUCUAAUGAUUUUGUGAACCAUCACGAUGUGUGUCCUCAAAAUGGCUAUUCCAGUUCAAGUGCAUCAGAAAUAUCACAUGCUUUAUCUCCAUCCAUUUCCACAAUGGCAGAGAAAGGGGGUUUUAGUGGGAAAAAUGCCCUGAUCAAGUACCCAAAUUUUGAAGGUGUGGCAUUGGAAUCUAUAAGUUGCAGUGGAUUAAAUGAAAAUCAUGAUAUUUUCCCUGAUACAGUGUUAUCUGAUGCCAUUAAGUGUUGCAACCCAGUGACAUCAGCACCAAGUGCUGAUUGCUUACCAGCUGAUCAUGGUUUAUGUGAAGAGUCCAAUGAACAUCCAACCCCAAAAUCAAGCUUAGAGCUUAAGAGUCAGUACAAGGUGGAAAUUGAAGUUCCAUCUCAUCUCAAUGAUACUUGUGACAGAAUAAAUUGUCGGGAGCAGCAGUCACAUGUUGUUUCUGAUUGUAGUAACAAGGAAUCUGCGAACCUGGCUGAUGUAGGGAAACCCAUCCUUGACGAAAUUAACCAUAGUCCUCAGGAGGAUAAGCAGAGAUUCCAUAUGAAAGAUAACAUGUUGCUCGUACAAAGUGGAUCUUCUGAACAAUCCCAUAAGUCUAAUGAUUUUGUGAACCAUCACGAUGUGUGUCCUCAAAAUGGCUAUUCCAGUUCAAGUGCAUCAGAAAUAUCACAUGCUUUAUCUCCAUCCAUUUCCACCAUGGGAGAGAAAGGGGGUUUUAGUGGGAAAAAUGCCCUGAUCAAGUACCCAAAUUUUGAAGGUGUGGCAUUGGAAUCUAUAAGUUGCAGUGGAUUAAAUGAAAAUCAUGAUAUUUUCCCUGAUACAGUGUUAUCUGAUGCCAUUGAGUGUUGCAACCUAGUGACAACAGCACCGAGUGCUGAUUGCUUACCAGCUGGUCAUGGUUUAAGAGAAGAGUCCAAGGAACAAUUAGUGGAUAGAGAGCCUGGUGCUUAUGAAUUUUUCCAAACCUUUCACAAGGAUAACCUGACAAAACAGAUGAAAGGCAACAAUUAUCCAGGACAAAGAACUGAAGAAUUUCAGGAAGAGAAUGAUAAUCCUUCUGAACUGGAUAUUGAGCAAAAUUUUUAUAGUGAUUACGAAAGAUUCGAGACGAAUGAUGGCAACAUGGUUGGACAAGGAAGAUCUUCGGAAGAAUUUCAAGAGGUGAAUAAACAUAGCCAUGUUAGUGAUCUUACUCCCAAAAGCAGAGUCUCAGUUGGAACAGAAUUUCAAAGUUCUCAUUUUUCAUCUAACCUAACCUCCGUAAGCAAGGUGCAAGUAGGGACCACUGGAACAGGUAAUGUGAUUAAGAACUCAAAUGUGGAAGAUCCAAAAUUAGAUUCUUUACAUGGCGACUUAUCAUUGGAUAGCGUUGACCAAAUCUGUGAUCCACAAUUAGAAGAUGUUGCUUGCAAAUGCAACGCAAGUUCUUCAGUGCUGCACAAUGAUUGCUUGAAAAUUAUUGGGGAUGAAUAUUCAGGGAAUCAACUGGUGCUAAGAAACUCAUUCCCUAAUAAAAUUAAACAGAUGUUGGAGAUGGAUGAAUGUACACUGCUGAUGGGUAAUGAGGCAUUGCUGGCAGAAAUAAGGUCUUCUAAAGAACCCCAGAAUGAUAAUGAUCCUGACAACUUUAUUAACAUCACUUUGAAAAGAAAGGAUUGUUAUGGAAGUGAAUCACAAAGCCCUCAUGUUCUUUCUCAGCUAAAACUUGCAAAAAAAGAUAUCGAAGGUUCAGCUGAAACAUCGAAGGAGACCAAGCAAUUACAUGUACAAGAUGCAGCACAACUGAACGUAUCUGCAGAUAGAAAUGUCUUACUAGAUGAUAUUAAUGCUGAUCUGCCUCAUAAUGAUAGUGUUCAAGAUGGUAAGCUUCAGUCUGUGACAGAGAAUGGAUUUCCUAUGAAGGUCAAUGAAACAGGUGACCCAGUUGAAGAAAAAAUUGUGGAUGGUUCAAAGCCUGAUUCUCUUACGCUGCAGAACGUUGUUCCAUUUUCUGAUGAAUGGUUAGCUGCUCUUGAGACUGCUGGGGAGGAGAUUCUGACAAGAAAAAGUGGAGCUGUGCAAAACUCCCCACCUGACAAGUCUCUUCCGGAACCCAGCCCAUGGUCCCCGGCUUAAAGCUAACGAUGAGGACCUAUUGGUAACUAGUAGAGGUUUUGAGACUGAAGUGGUGCAUUUUAUAAGGUGAAACGAAAGGCCAACCAAGAGAUUGGUCCAUUUGACUGCACAAAAUACACCAACCUGCCCAGCAGCCCCAGGUGACAUCUUGCCAAGAUGGUAGCCUUUGGAUCUUUUCUUGCUUACAUGAUGUAACUGAUUUUUUGUCCAAGCAAAAAAGGAUAAAUAAAAAGGAGCUAGGGUUUGAAUUUUCAUUUCUCUGUCACUUCAAAAUGUUUUCCAAGUUGAAGUGAAAUUGUCCAUAUUUUCAUGCAAAUGCAAACAUACAUUGGUUCCUUUAAGGGUACAUUAUUUAAUUGAACUUUUUACAGCCAAAA